rnacentral:rRNA from 1 species
UACGUAGGGUGCAAGCGUUGUCCGGAAUUAUUGGGCGUAAAGAGCUCGUAGGCGGUUUGUCGCGUCGAAUGUGAAAACCCGGGGCUCAACCCCGGGCCUGCAUUCGAUACGGGCAGACUUGAGUACUGCAGGGGAGACUGGAAUUCCUGGUGUAGCGGUGGAAUGCGCAGAUAUCAGGAGGAACACCGGUGGCGAAGGCGGGUCUCUGGGCAGUAACUGACGCUGAGGAGCGAAAGCGUGGGGAGCGAACAGG